rnacentral:ncRNA from 1 species
CUCUGUUUCGCAAUGAUUCAGGGCUGAAGGAG